rnacentral:rRNA from 1 species
ACUGGGGGAUAACACUUAGAAAUAGGUGCUAACACCGCAUAAGCGCACAGCUUCGCAUGAAGCAGUGUGAAAAACUGAGGUGGUAUACGAUGGUUCCGCGUCUGAUUAGCUAGUUGGUGGGGUAAAAGCCUACCAAGGCAACGAUCAGUAGCCGGCCUGAGAGGGUGAACGGCCACAUUGGGACUGAGACACGGCCCAAACUCCUACGGGAGGCAGCAGUGGGGAAUAUUGCACAAUGGGGGAAACCCUGAUGCAGCGACGCCGCGUGAGUGAAGAAGUAUUUCGGUAUGUAAAGCUCUAUCAGCAGGGAAGAAAUACUGACCAUAGGGUCAGCAGACGGUACUUGACUAAGAAGCCCCGGCUAACUACGUGCCAGCAGCCGCGGUAAUACGUAGGGGGCAAGCGUUAUCCGGAUUUACUGGGUGUAAUGGGAGCGUAGACGGCAGCGCAAGUCUGAAGUGAAAUGCCAGGGCUUAACCCUGGAACUGCUUUGGAAACUGUGCAGCUAGAGUGCAGGAGAGGUAAGUGGAAUUUCUAGUGUAGCGGUGAAAUGCGUAGAUAUUAGGAGGAACACCAGUGGCGAAGGCGGCUUACUGGACUGUAACUGACGUUGAGGCUCGAAAGCGUGGGGAGCAAACAGGAUUAGAUACCCUGGUAGUCCACGCUGUAAACGAUGAUUACUAGGUGUUGGGGGACC